rnacentral:rRNA from 1 species
UACGUAGGGUGCAAGCGUUAAUCGGAAUUACUGGGCGUAAAGCGUGCGCAGGCGGUUUUGUAAGUCUGUCGUGAAAUCCCCGGGCUCAACCUGGGAAUGGCGAUGGAGACUGCAAGGCUAGAGUUUGGCAGAGGGGGGUAGAAUUCCACGUGUAGCAGUGAAAUGCGUAGAUAUGUGGAGGAACACCGAUGGCGAAGGCAAUCCCCUGGGCCUGUACUGACGCUCAUGCACGAAAGCGUGGGGAGCAAACAGG